ACUCAAAUGAAUAGACGGGGGCCCGCACAAGCAGUGGAGUAUGUGGUUUAAUUCGAAGAUACGCGAAGAACCUUACCGGGUCUUGACAUCUGACGAAUCCUUUGGAAACAAGGGAGUGCCUUCGGGAACGUCAAGACAGGUGGUGCAUGGUUGUCGUCAGCUCGUGUCGUGAGAUGUUGGGUUAAGUCCCGCAACGAGCGCAACCCCUGCCUUUAGUUGCUACGAAAGAGCACUCUAGAGGGACUGCCGUUGACAAAACGGAGGAAGGUGGGGAUGACGUCAAAUCAUCAUGCCCCUUAUGACCCGGGCAACACACGUACUACAAUGGCGGCCAAACAGAGGGCAGCGACACAGCGAUGUGAAGCGAAACCCAAAAAGCCGUCUCAGUUCGGAUUGCAGGCUGAAACUCGCCUGCAUGAAGUCGGAAUUGCUAGUAAUCGCGAAUCAGCAUGUCGCGGUGAAUACGUUCCCGGGCCUUGUACACACCGCCCGU
rnacentral:rRNA from 1 species